CCUACGGGAGGCAGCAGUAGGGAAUCUUCCACAAUGGGCGAAAGCCUGAUGGAGCAACGCCGCGUGGGUGAAGAAGGUCUUCGGAUCGUAAAACCCUGUUGUUAGAGAAGAAAGUGCGUGAGAGUAACUGUUCACGUUUCGACGGUAUCUAACCAGAAAGCCACGGCUAACUACGUGCCAGCAGCCGCGGGAAUACGUAGGUGGCAAGCGUUAUCCGGAUUUAUUGGGCGUAAAGGGAACGCAGGCGGUCUUUUAAGUCUGAUGGGAAAGCCUUCGGCUUAACCGGAGUAGUGCAUUGGAAACGGGGAGACUUGAGUGCAGAAGAGGAGAGUGGAACUCCAUGUGUAGCGGUGAAAUGCGUAGAUAUAUGGAAGAACACCAGUGGCGAACGCGGCUCUCUGGUCUGUAACUGACGCUGAGGUUCGAAAGCGUGGGUAGCAAACAGGAUUAGAUACCCGAGUAGUC
rnacentral:rRNA from 1 species